rnacentral:rRNA from 1 species
AGAGUUUGAUCAUGGCUCAGGACGAACGCUGGCGGCGUGCCUAAUACAUGCAAGUCGAGCGGAUCAAUGGGGAGCUUGCUCCCCUGAGGUCAGCGGCGGACGGGUGAGUAACACGUGGGCAACCUGCCUGUAAGACUGGGAAAACUCCGGGAAACCGGGGCUAAUACCGGAUAACAUUUUCCACUGCAUAGUGGAGAAUUAAAAGAUGGCUUCGGCUAUCACUUACAGAUGGGCCCGCGGCGCAUUAGCUAGUUGGUGAGGUAAUGGCUCACCAAGGCGACGAUGCGUAGCCGACCUGAGAGGGUGAUCGGCCACACUGGGACUGAGACACGGCCCAGACUCCUACGGGAGGCAGCAGUAGGGAAUCUUCGGCAAUGGGCGAAAGCCUGACCGAGCAACGCCGCGUGAGCGAUGAAGGCCUUCGGGUCGUAAAGCUCUGUUGUUAGGGAAGAACAAGUACCGUUCGAACAGGGCGGUACCUUGACGGUACCUAACCAGAAAGCCACGGCUAACUACGUGCCAGCAGCCGCGGUAAUACGUAGGUGGCAAGCGUUGUCCGGAAUUAUUGGGCGUAAAGCGCGCGCAGGCGGUCUCUUAAGUCUGAUGUGAAAGCCCACGGCUCAACCGUGGAGGGCCAUUGGAAACUGGGGGACUUGAGUACUGGAGAGGAGAGUGGAAUUCCAUGUGUAGCGGUGAAAUGCGUAGAUAUAUGGAGGAACACCAGUGGCGAAGGCGGCUCUCUGGCCAGUAACUGACGCUGAGGCGCGAAAGCGUGGGGAGCAAACAGGAUUAGAUACCCUGGUAGUCCACGCCGUAAACGAUGAGUGCUAGGUGUUUGGGGGGUUCCACCCUCAGUGCUGACGUUAACACAUUAAGCACUCCGCCUGGGGGAGUACGGCCGCAAGGCUGAAACUCAAAAGGAAUUGACGGGGGGCCCGCACAAACAGUUGGAGCAUGUGGGUUUAAUUCCAAACAACCCCGAAGAAACCUUUCCAGGGGUUUGAGAACCCUUCGCCAACUUUCUAGAGAAAAGAAAGGUUCCCCCUUCCGGGGGACGAAAAUAAACAAGGGGGUGGCAAGGGUGUUCCUCCAACCCCCUG